AGGAAAUUAGCUUAGUUGGUAGAGCGUCUUACUUACAAUAAGAGGAGGAAAGUUCAAUUCUUUCAUUUCCUA
rnacentral:tRNA from 1 species